AAUAGGCUAGAACCCUAGAAAGACAGAAGAGAGAAAACAGCAGAGCAAUCAGAUCAGAUAGAUGUGUAAAGGCAUGAUUCCAGCAGGGACUGGCAAACAAUGUUUCCUUUUAUCUCUGCCCACAUGGCUACAGCCUACUCAAUGUGAAGAGGGUGAGAAUGAAGACCUUUAUGAUGACCCACUUCCACUUAAUGAAUAGUGUAGGUCUGUGAUGAUGUGUUAGGGUGUUCACUCUCGAGCAGCCAUGGCCACCCGAAGAAGUGACAGGCAACAUGUCAACUGUCUUCAGUCAAGAGCUGGGACCACUGGUUCAGUCCAAUAAAUAACCUCUCAUUUUCACCUUUCGAUUGUGAUUAACCAAACAUGUAAAGAAAAAAUGUGAAAGAACAAAGACAUAACAGAUUUGACCCCAUUUUUCCAAAAGUCCAGCACUUCCCUGGGAUGCAAGAAGUGCUAACAGAUGGCCAGUCAGAGAAAUGCAUGUAUUCAGAAUCAAAUAAAACAAUAACUUAUGGCCAGAAUGCAGGUGCUUAAACACGCAUUUUAAAGGAUAUCUGUCUCACUGUUUCCCCUCUAAGAAACUCAAUGUAGUGAAAAUUUUAAGGGAAUAUGCUUUCAAUUAUGUGUUCUUAUACCCACAUAACUGUUCUGGAAAGGAAAGUUCUGACCGAAGUAGGCAAGGUAGGUUUACACAGAUUCAAUGGAUUGACUAAUAGGUUCAACGUAAAAAAAAAAAAUCCUAUACUUACAAAUUAUCCAAAUUUUAGUUCUUCCUGUCCUUUGCAAAACUGUGUUGGAAUUCUAACCUCAGCUCUAACUUUAACACAAGUAGUGUUUUUGUUUUGUCUCAUUUUUGUUCCCCCCGAGACAGGGUCUUGCUCUGCACCCAGGCUGAAGUGCAGGUGUGCGAUCUCAGCUGCAACCUCUGCCUCCCAGGUUCAAGCAAUU